AUUGAACGCUGGCGGCAGGCCUACCCCAUGCAAGUCGAGCGGAGCGGCGGACGGGUGAGUAAUGCCUAUGAAUCUGCCUGGUAGUGGGGGAUAACGUCCGGAAACGGGCGCUAAUACCGCAUACUCUCCUCUGCGCCUAGGUCGGAUUAGCUAGUUGGUGGGGUAAAGGCCUACCACGGCGACGAUCCGUAACUGGUCUGAGAGGAUGAUCAGUAACACGGGAACGGAGACAAGUUCCAGACUCCUACGGGAGGCAGCAGUGGGGAAUAUGGGACAAUGGGCGAAAGCCUGAUCCAGCCAUGCCGCGUGUGUGAAGAAGGUCGUCGGAUUGUAAAGCACUUUAAGUUGGGAGGCGUUACCAACAGAAUAAGCACCGGCUAACUGCGUGCCAGCAGCCGCGGUAAUAC
rnacentral:rRNA from 1 species